rnacentral:rRNA from 1 species
AGAGUUUGAUCCUGGCUCAGGAUAAACGCUGGCGGCGCACAUAAGACAUGCAAGUCGAACGAACUUAAUUGAGAGCUUGCUCUCAAAGCGGUUAGUGGCGGACUGGUGAGUAACACGUAAGCAACCUGCCUAUUAGAGGGGAAUAACAGCGAGAAAUCGUUGCUAAUACCGCAUAUGCUGUGAGUAUCGCAUGAUACAAGCAGGAAAGGAGCAAUCCGCUAAUAGAUGGGCUUGCGUCUGAUUAGUUAGUUGGUGGGGUAACGGCCUACCAAGACGAUGAUCAGUAGCCGGACUGAGAGGUUGAACGGCCACAUUGGGACUGAGAUACGGCCCAGACUCCUACGGGAGGCAGCAGUCGGGAAUAUUGCGCAAUGGAGGAAACUCUGACGCAGUGACGCCGCGUGCAGGAAGAAGGUUUUCGGAUUGUAAACUGCUUUUAACAGGAAAGAAAAAAAUGACGGUACCUGUUGAAUAAGCUCCGGCUAACUACGUGCCAGCAGCCGCGGUAAUACGUAGGGAGCGAGCGUUAUCCGGAUUUAUUGGGUGUAAAGGGUGCGUAGGCGGCUUUAUAAGUCGGUGGUCUAAGUCCGAAGCUUAACUUCGGUUCGCCAUUGAAACUGUAGAGCUUGAGUAUGGAAGAGGUAAGUGGAAUUUCUAGUGUAGCGGUUAAAUGCGUAGAUAUUAGAAGGAACACCAGUGGCGAAAGCGACUUACUGGUCCACUACUGACGCUGAGGCACGAAAGCGUGGGGAGCAAAUAGGAUUAGAUACCCUAGUAGUCCACGCCGUAAACGAUGGAUACUAAGUGUCGGGGCAACUCGGUGCUGAAGUUAACACAUUAAGUAUCCCACCUGAGUAGUACGGUCGCAAGGCUGAAACUCAAAGGAAUUGACGGGCACCCGCACAAGCGGUGGAGCAUGCUGUUUAAUUCGAAGAUACGCGAAAAACCUUACCUAGACUUGACAUCCCGUUGACCGAUGUAGAAAUACGUCUUUUCCCUUCGGGGAACAACGGUGACAGGUGGUGCAUGGUUGUCGUCAGCUCGUGUCGUGAGAUGUUCGGUUAAGUCCGAUAACGAGCGCAACCCCUUUCUUUAAUUGCUAACAUUCAGUUGAGAACCUUAAAGAUACUGCCGGUGACAAACCGGAGGAAGGUGGGGAUGACGUCAAAUCAUCAUGCCCCUUACGUCUAGGGCUACAGGCGUGCUACAAUGGCUGGUAUAAAAAGAUGCAAUAUCGUGAGAUGGAGCAAAUCUCCAAAGCCAGUCCCAGUACGGAUUGAAGUCUGCAACUCGACUUCAUGAAGUUGGAAUCGCUAGUAAUCCUGAAUCAGAAUGUCAGGGUGAAUACGUUCUCGGGUGUUGUACACACCGCCCGUCAUGCCAUGGGAGUCGGUAAUACCCAAAGGUGGUAGCCUAACCAGUUUACUGGAGGGGGCCAAUUAAGGUAGGAUCGGUGACUGGGGUAAAGUCGUAACAAGGUAUCCC